AUUUAUAUGGACAUUUUCCUCAAGGAGUUUGUUUUCUUCAUAAUUCCAUUCUUCCCUAAGAGAAUAAAUCCCAUCUCGUUAAACAAGGCCAUAACACAACACAGUCAGAGAGCCUCUUUUCUUCCCCCAAAGCCCUUUGCAAAACAAAUAUGCAUCCUCUUGUGCAAUCCUGUGGGGUAGGGAAGGGGCACCAGAGGGCAGAUCUGAGAUGGAAACCUCUGAUCAGCAUCGAUUGAUCCCUGAACCUCACCCAGAAUUUUGUAACAACUUCACACAAAUAGGAACUGGCACUUGUGCCAAAAGCAGCCUCCUCCACUCCCAGCUGCUUGCACCCUCCCUGGUGCUGGCACAGAGAUUUGAGUGGCUUGCAUAAAUGAGAAAGAAUGAGCUGCUCUGAAUUAAAAUUAAUUCAGCACAUGCACAGGGAAAGCUAAUUUUUAACAGAGGGAAGCCAUGCAUCCACCUCUCCCACAACACCCCAUGUUGGGAACAAAUGAGCUGAAAGCAGCGUUUUGCCAAUCCGUGCCAAAAUACCACUCCCAUAACACCCAGCCUUGGAAACAAAUGAGCUGAAAGCAGCAUUUUACCAACCUAUACCAAAAUACAUCACUAGAAAAGCACUCUGUAAGGAAGCAUUACCUAUUCAUCGACCCCUGUUACAAACAGCGCAUCUGAAAGCUGCAGGAAUUCACAGCACUCGUUCUUUGUUCGUAACACUAUGCUUGUAUGACAUUUGUUUGUAAGUCUAAUUUAAUUAAAAAAACAGUAAAAUGCAAGUGUGGGUUUUUGGCGCUGGGCUGGCAGGGUGUCUGCGUGAAAAUGCCCCAGGGAGGGUGGCACAUUUAAGAGAAAUUAAAUUGUCUCUUUCCGCCCAGAAUAAACAUGGUGCUAAUCCCUCUAAUGGCCCUAAACAUCACUAGAACUGCGGAUCCAGCGACAAGUGUGCAAUAGGACCCAAUUAAGCUGCUCACACAUUUGAAAUCAUGGUCUCAUCGUGGUUUAGUCUGGAGUCUCUCAGUGGCUAAACGUGCUGAGACAAGCGAAAACACGAAACUUCAUUAAGCGCUGCACCAGCAGAUUGCUGGGACCUGACGACAAGGGUGAGUGGGAGGCAUCGACAUUUCUGCCACCUCCUCCCAGUUUCCAAAGGCAUAGGGAUCUCCAGGGAACCCUGGAUCCUCCAGCAUAGCCUGGAAUCCAUUAACAGGAACAUCCUGCAUAGGAAAGUGGUGUAAUUUUCCUCUGUGGGGUACCUGUGGGUCUCAGAUGGAGCACUGCAUCGAGUCUUGAAGUGGAAAAAGACCAGGAGCUGAUGCAAAGCAUCAGGAGGAGGAGUGCCAUGGGCCAAAUAGCAGCAGAAGAAGUAAGCACAGUUCCCAUUAGAGACAGUUCCAACAGCACCGUUGUACGAGACAGUAGUGAGAACUAACUUGUGUCCGAGGAAGAAGGAAAGCAUCAGGGAAAA
ensembl:lncRNA